ACGGGAGGCAGCAGUGGGGAAUAUUGCGCAAUGGGCGGAAGCCUGACGCAGCGACGCCGCGUGGGGGAUGACGGCCUUCGGGUUGUAAACCUCUUUCGACUUCGACGAAGCCUUCGGGUGACGGUAGGGGUGGAAGAAGCACCGGCCAACUACGUGCCAGCAGCCGCGGUAACACGUAGGGUGCGAGCGUUGUCCGGAAUUAUUGGGCGUAAAGAGCUCGUAGGCGGUGUGUCGCGUCGGCCGUGAAAACCUGCAGCUUAACUGUGGGCUUGCGGUCGAUACGGGCAUCACUGGAGUUCGGCAGGGGAGACUGGAAUUCCUGGUGUAGCGGUGAAAUGCGCAGAUAUCAGGAGGAACACCGGUGGCGAAGGCGGGUCUCUGGGCCGAUACUGACGCUGAGGAGCGAAAGCGUGGGGAGCGAACAGGAUUAGAUACCCUGGUA
rnacentral:rRNA from 1 species